rnacentral:rRNA from 1 species
CCUACGGGAUGCAGCAGUAGGGAAUAUUGCGCAAUGGGGGAAACCCUGAAGCAGCAACGCCGCGUGGAGGAUGAAGGUUUUCGGAUUGUAAACUCCUUUUGUUAGGGAAGAUAAUGACGGUAUCUAACGAAUAAGCACCGGCUAACUCCGUGCCAGCAGCCGCGGUAAUACGGAGGGUGCAAGCGUUACUCGGAAUGACUGGGCGUAAAGAGCGCGUAGGCGGGAUAGCAAGUCAGAUGUGAAAUCCUAUGGCUUAACCAUAGAACUGCAUUUGAAACUGUUAGUCUAGAGUAUGGGAGAGGCAGGCGGAAUUCUUGGUGUAGGGGUAAAAUGCGUAGAGAUCAAGAGGAAUACUCAUUGCGAAGGCGACCUGCUAGAACAUAACUGACGCUGAGGCGCGAAAGCGUGGGGAGCAAACAGGAUUAGAUACCCCUGUAGUC